rnacentral:rRNA from 1 species
GAGUUUGAUCAUGGCUCAGGAUGAACGCUGGCGGCGUGCCUAAUACAUGCAAGUUGAACGGACUUGGAGGGUGCUUGCACCUAACAAGUUAGUAGCGAACGGGUGAGUAAUACAUAAGCAACCUACCUAUUAGCCUGGGAUAACUAUGGGAAACGAUAGCUAAUACCGGAUAGGUAACUUGAAGGCAUCUUUAAGUUAUUAAAGGUUAGAGACACUAAUAGAUGGGCUUAUGGCGUAUUAGUUAGUUGGUGAGGUAACGGCUCACCAAGACGAUGAUACGUAGCCGGCCUGAGAGGGUGAACGGCCACAUUGGGACUGAGACACGGCCCAGACUCCUACGGGAGGCAGCAGUAGGGAAUUUUCGGCAAUGGGCGCAAGCCUGACCGAGCAACGCCGCGUGAGUGAAGAAGGCCUUCGGGUUGUAAAGCUCUGUUAUAAAUUAAGAAUGGCUAUAAGGGA